CUACUAUAGAUAAUACAACCAGCUGAGUCUCACCAUAGACUACUAUAGAUUAUACAACCAGCUGAGUCUCACCAUAGACUACUAUAGAUUAUACAACCAGCUGAGUCUCACUACUCCACAUCAUAGACUACUAUAGAUUAUACAACCAGCUGAGUCUCACGACUCCACAACAUAGACUGCUAUAGAUUAUACAACCAGCUGAGUCUCACCAUAGACUACUAUAGAUUAUACAACCAGCUGAGUCUCACCAUAGACUACUAUAGAUUAUACAACCAGCUGAGUCUCACCAUAGACUACUAUAGAUAAUACAACCAGCUGAGUCUCACUACUCCUCACCAUAGACUACUAUAGAUUAUACAACCAGCUGAGUCUCACUACUCCACAACAUAGACUACUAUAGAUUAUACAACCAGCUGAGUCUCACGACUCCACAACAUAGACUGCUAUAGAUUAUACAACCAGCUGAGUCUCACCAUAGACUACUAUAGAUUAUACAACCAGCUGAGUCUCACCAUAGACUACUAUAGAUUAUACAACCAGCUGAGUCUCACCAUAGACUACUAUAGAUAAUACAACCAGCUGAGUCUCACUACUCCUCACCAUAGACUACUAUAGAUUAUACAACCAGCUGAGUCUCACUACUCCACAACAUAGACUACUAUAGAUUAUACAACCAGCUGAGUCUCACGACUCCACAACAUAGACUGCUAUAGAUUAUACAACCAGCUGAGUCUCACCAUAGACUACUAUAGAUUAUACAACCAGCUGAGUCUCACCAUAGACUACUAUAGAUUAUACAACCAGCUGAGUCUCACCAUAGACUACUAUAGAUAAUACAACCAGCUGAGUCUCACUACUCCUCACCAUAGACUACUAUAGAUUAUACAACCAGCUGAGUCUCACUACUCCACAACAUAGACUGCUAUAGAUAAUACAACCAGCUGAGUCUCACCAUAGACGACUAUAGAUUAUACAACCAGCUGAGUCUCACUACUCCACAUCAUAGACUGCUAUAGAUUAUACAACCAGCUGAGUCUCACCAUAGACUACUAUAGAUUAUACAACCAGCUGAGUCUCACUACUCCACAUCAUAGACUGCUAUAGAUUAUACAACCAGCUGAGUCUCACCAUAGACGACUAUAGAUUAUACAACCAGCUGAAUCUCACCAUAGACGACUAUAGAUAAUACAACCAGCUGAGUCUCACUACUCCACAACAUAGACUACUAUAGAUUAUACAACCAGCUGAGUCUCACUACUCCACAACAUAGACUGCUAUAGAUUAUACAACCAGCUGAGUCUCACCAUAGACGACUAUAGAUUAUACAACCAGCUGAGUCUCACCAUAGACUACUAUAGAUAAUACAACCAGCUGAGUCUCACCAUAGACUACUAUAGAUAAUACAACCAGCUGAGUCUCACCAUAGACUACUAUAGAUAAUACAACCAGCUGAGUCUCACCAUAGACGACUAUAGAUUAUACAACCAGCUGAGUCUCACCAUAGACGACUAUAGAUUAUACAACCAGCUGAGUCUCACUACUCUACAUCAUAGACUACUAUAGAUAAUACAACCAGCUGAGUCUCACCAUAGACUACUAUAGAUAAUACAACCAGCUGAGUCUCACCAUAGACUACUAUAGAUUAUACAACCAGCUGAGUCUCACUACUCCACAACAUAGACUGCUAUAGAUAAUACAACCAGCUGAGUCUCACCAUAGACGACUAUAGAUUAUACAACCAGCUGAGUCUCACUACUCCACAUCAUAGACUGCUAUAGAUUAUACAACCAGCUGAGUCACUACUCCACAACAUAGACUACUAUAGAUUAUACAACCAGCUGAGUCUCACUACUCCACAACAUAGACUGCUAUAGAUUAUACAACCAGCUGAGUCUCACCAUAGACGACUAUAGAUUAUACAACCAGCUGAGUCUCACUACUCCACAACAUAGACUACUAUAGAUUAUACAACUAGCUGAGUCUCACUACUCCACAUCAUAGACUGCUAUAGAUUAUACAACCAGCUGAGUCUCACCAUAGACGACUAUAGAUUAUACAACCAGCUGAGUCUCACCAUAGACUACUAUAGAUAAUACAACCAGCUGAGUCUCACCAUAGACAAUACAGCCAGCUAAAUCUCCCUACUCCUCACCAUAGACUACUAUAGAUUAUACAGCCAACUGACUGUCACUCCAGACCAUAAACUCCAGCAAACUGACAACCAUUUUAGCACCAAUUCAUUACGUAGAGUGAUAUAUCUAGGCUUAAUUAACACUCUAGCACUAUACUUCUGAUAUAGAACUACAGUAACAUUCUAGCCUCUGGAUUAUUCUGAUAUAGAACUACAGUAACAUUCUAGCCUCUGGAUUAUUCUGAUAUAGAACUACAGUAACAUUCUAGCCUCUGGAUUAUUCUGAUAUAGAACUACAGUAACAUUCUAGCAUCUGGAUUAUUCUGAUAUAGAACUACAGUAACAUUCUAGCCUCAUGGAAAAUAUUGUUAUUUCGAACAACCAAUGACCAACUCAGCCGUAAACCAGCUGCGUAUUGAACGUUGAGAUCGCCAGAGACCCCGUCUCUAUGGCAAUGACAAGGAGUGGCAUGUUAGCUAAAGAGACUGGUGCUCAGACUACCCACAGCUCUGUGUCAUGCAGGCCAGUUCAGUUAUUAAUGAUUGAUGUAGUUGCCAUAGUUACGUAUCAUCUGAAAGCAAAACAGGGCCAUAUCAACAGUUGGACAUUUGUGGGAAUUUCUCCCGUUAGAUUCCACACAUAAACUUUCACUUUUGUAUUGGAAUGAUGUUGUUCCUCCCUUUUCUCAGGACAGGGAGAGGUUAACCUGGAGGUUACCUCAGAGCAGGGAGAGGUUAGCUUGGAGGUUUUCUCAGGACAGGGAGAGACAAGGGAGAGGUUAGCCUGGAGGUUUCCUCAGGACAGGGAGAGGUUAGCCUGGAGGUUUCCUCAGGACAGGGAGAGGUUAGCCUGGAGGUUUCCUCAGGACAGGGAGAGGUUAGCCUGGAUGUUUCCUCAGGGCAGGGAGAGAGAAGGGAGAGGUUAGCCUGGAGGUUUCCUCAGGGCAGGGAGAGGUUUGCCUGGAGGUAGGGAAGGGAGAGGUUAACCUGGAGGUUUCCUCAGAGCAUGGAGAGAGAAGGGAGAGGUUAGCCUGGAGGUUUCCUCAGAGCAUGGAGAGAGAAGGGAGAGGUUAGCCUGGAGGUUUCCUCAGGACAGGGAAA